CUUCCAGUAGCACCUUAGAGACCAACUAAGUUUGUUAUUGGUAUGAGCUUUCAUGUAGCUCAUACCAAUAACAAACUUAGUUGGUCUCUAAGGUGCUACUGGAAG